rnacentral:lncRNA from 1 species
UCAAACUAAGAUUCUUUAAUACUCAAAACCAAAAUUUUAACCCUGAAAGUAAAAAACCCAUCCCACUUAAUCACACUAAUAAAGUACAAGAUAUUAAAAAAAAAAAAAAGCACACACUUCCUUAGAUACGAUCACAGUUGAACGUCGAAUCAAGCUGCUUCAACAAACCAAGAUAGGUCCAGUACACAAUUCAAUCCUUGGCCCCAGUCCUGUGCUUUUUAUUGUGCUUGAAGAAGUACUUAAGGUGAUCCAAGGUUAAAUGUCCUAAGGAUUGAGUUAACAGCAAAAGUAGCCAGUUAAUCUUAAUUUUCUUCUUAGAAACAAGCUUAGCGACUUCGUCCUGUCAGCUCUCAGUUGUGAAAGUAAGACCUAUGUGAGCUUUUGUCGGUGAAGAUAUAUAUAUAUAUUAUUUUAUUUUAUUUUAAUCACCCUAUUUGCUUUGCCAAAAAAAUCACUUACAGAUGGUCUUAUUACAAUCAAUAAAUAUUUCAAAAUAAAGGCAACUUAACAAUAAAAUAAAACUCAACCACUUGAUGUCAUUUAUACAACUAAACACUAUACUUGAGAAAAAAAAUAAAUUUGCAUGAAAUAAAAAAAGAUGCCAGAGAUUACUUCAACCGGGCUUAUUACACCCCACACCGAGUCACCAACAUCCGAUGGUGCGAGAUCAGCGGUCUAGCUUCAAUCUCAAACUGGGAAAGCCAAUUUCCGUCAAACUGAGUAAAUACCUUUAAAUCUCUAUAAAACCCUAACCCCAAAAAUAAUUUAGGCUUAUCAAGAGAGAGAGUAUGAGGCAUAGCGAUAAUUUAGGCUUAACUCUAAUUUCCCAACCCUUAAUAUCUUUAGGUCAAGAGAGAAAGAGUAGGAGGCCUAGGGUUGGGGCGUACUCCCUAUAAGUCUUUAGGAGAGAGAGGGUUACAGAGAGAAACCCUAAGGAGAGAGAUGAGAGAGAGAGAAAGAGUGGUGGGAGAGAGAAGGUGUAGAGAGUAGAGGAGGGUACACCCCUAUUUAUAGUACAAAGUUAAGUUUAGGGUUUCUCACAGUUUGUCUUUUUCUUGAGAUUGAAUAUGGACCGUUGAUCAAGGUGUCUUGUAGGGUGAGAGAUCUGAGCCAUCCAUUCUAUAAAUGGGGUCAUCAACAUUAUGAAAGGUGCAUAGACCAUUAUCCCCCUUUCCUUAAACCAUUUUCCCAUUAAUAGAUUUAAAUAAAUUAAAUCUAUUAAAAUAUCAUGCAUUCCAUAAAAUUGCAUAAUCCAUCUCAUAUGUUCUGUAAAAAUAUUUCAAAAGAUAUCAAGUUAAUAUUUGCUAUCUCAAUUAGAUAAGAUAUGGUCAAAAUAUAUCAUAUUUCAAUUUGACCACAUGCAUCAAGAUAUAAUUACCAAAGUUAGAUUUCUUGAUUUCAAAGCAAUGAGAGGGAAACAUGCAAGGGGUGGGGCGUGCCACCCAUAUGUGGAACAUAUGGGCCCCACCCACUUGUCACAUGGUGGGCCCAUGUGCACUUUAGGUCCCCCAUGAGAUUUUACAAAUAAUUUUAAAACCUUAUUUGAAUUUUAUACUUUUGUAAAAUCAAUUAUUUCAUUUUUAUAAGUCAAAAAAUCAUAAAUAAAAUAUUAAAA